CAGCGCCUUUCAGUGGGACAAGGGGAUCACUGGGAGAGCAGAACUGGUGCAGUGGGAGCCAGGAGCCGUGAGGAGUUCCAACUCUAAAUGGCCUCUGAAAUGAUGCAAACAAGAUCUGGUUGCUCAUUGCCUGUUAAUGACCCUGCUGCUGUGCAGCUCCAUCAGCUCUGCGUAGAGCUCAUUUCUGCUGAACAAUCACAGCUCAGUGGCUGGAAACCCAGAGAUCAUCAAUUUCAAGAACUGCAAAGGGCAGAAACAAGGCAAUUUCUUCUAACAAAGAACCAGAAGCAACAGCACCACCAACCCUGGGAAAGCAGAGUGAGAC